UGAAUACGUUCCCGGGCCUUGUACACACCGCCCGUCACACCAUGGGAGUGGGUUGCAAAAGAAGUAGGUAGCUUAACCUUCGGGAGGGCGCUUACCACUUUGUGAWUCAUGACUGGGGUGAAGUCGUAACAAGGUAACCGUAGGGGAACCUGCGGUUGGAUCACCUCCUUACCUUAAAGAAGC
rnacentral:rRNA from 1 species